ACCUACCCUUGACAUGUCUGGAAUCCCGAAGAGAUUUGGGAGUGCCCGAAAGGGAGCCGGAACACAGGUGCUGCAUGGCUGUCGUCAGCUCGUGUCGUGAGAUGUUGGGUUAAGUCCCGCAACGAGCGCAACCCUUGUCGUUAAUUGCCAUCAUUUAGUUGGGCACUUUAACGAGACUGCCGGUGACAAACCGGAGGAAGGUGGGGAUGACGUCAAGUCCUCAUGGCCCUUAUGGGUAGGGCUUCACACGUCAUACAAUGGUCGGUACAGAGGGUUGCCAAGCCGCGAGGUGGAGCCAAUCCCAGAAAGCCGAUCGUAGUCCGGAUUGCAGGCUGCAACUCGCCUGCAUGAAGUCGGAAUCGCUAGUAAUCGCGGAUCAGCAUGUCGCGGUGAAUACGUUCCCGGGUCUUGUACACACCGCCCGUCACACCAUGGGAGCGGGUUCCGCCAGAAGUAGGUAGCCUAACCGCAAGGGGGGCGCUUACCACGGCGGGGUUCGUGACUGGGGUGAAGUCGUAACAAGGUAGCCGUAGGGGAACCUGCGGCUGGAUCACCUCC
rnacentral:rRNA from 1 species